ACGACUUAAAUACGCGACGGGGUAU
rnacentral:snRNA from 1 species